rnacentral:rRNA from 1 species
GAUGAACGCUGGCGGCGUGCUUAACACAUGCAAGUCGAACGAUGAAGCCCAGCUUGCUGGGUGGAUUAGUGGCGAACGGGUGAGUAACACGUGAGUAACCUGCCCUUAACUCUGGGAUAAGCCUGGGAAACUGGGUCUAAUACCGGAUAGGAGCGUCCACCGCAUGGGGGGUGUUGGAAAGAUUUAUCGGUUUUGGAUGGACUCGCGGCCUAUCAGCUUGUUGGUGAGGUAAUGGCUCACCAAGGCGACGACGGGUAGCCGGCCUGAGAGGGUGACCGGCCACACUGGGACUGAGACACGGCCCAGACUCCUACGGGGGGCAGCAGUGGGGAAUAUUGCACAAUGGGCGCAAGCCUGAUGCAGCGGCGCCGCGUGAGGGAUGACAGCCUUCGGGUUGUAAACCUCUUUCAGUAGGGAAGAAGCGAAAGUGACGUUACCUGCAGAAGAAGCACCGGCUAACUACGUG